GACUUGUCUCUCCAGAAUGACUAUCCUCCAUUUCUAGGUCCCAAAUCACAACCAUGAAGUUGAUCUUAUGGUACUUGGUUGUGGCACUUUGGUGCUUCUUCAAAGAUGUGGAAGCCUUACUUUACCGACAAAAAUCAGAUGGUAAAAUAGCAGCAAGCAGAUCAGGUGGCUUCUCUUAUGGUAGUUCAUCCUCUGGUGACUUGGACAGAAAAAAGCCACUCUUUAGCUUGGAAUUUGGUUCUCCAGGAGAGACUGAAGACAAGUCCAGACAACGUCAGGAUGCUGGGAGUCCAAAGUCAGAAGACACCCCAGCAGGUGGCUUUUUUAACAGUAGUUCAUCCUCCGGUGACUCAGACAGGACAAAGCCAUUCUUUAGCUUAGGACUUGGUGCUCCAGGAAAGGCUGAAGACAAGUCCGGAGACAGUCAGGAUGCUGGAGGUUCAAAGUCAGAAGACACCCCACCAGGUGGCUUUUUUUAUGGUAGUUCAUCCUCUGGUGACUCAGACAAAAAAAAGCCACUCUUUAGCUUUGAAUUUGGUGCUACAGGAGAGGAUGAAGACAAGUCCAGAGAACGCUGGGAUGCUGGGAAUUCAAGGUCAGAAGACAGCCCAGCAGAUAGCACCAACACAAGAUAUGGUGCUGGCUUUAGUAGCAGUGGUGCCUCUCUGGAUGUGGGAUUUGGUUGGGGGAUAUCUGAUGAAAAGGGAUUGGAAGUCAGUAAAGCUGAUGGGAGAGAAACUAGAGGCAGUGGAUCUGCUGGGGGUGAAACCAUAGUCUUUGGACCUGAUGCAGGUAGCUCAGUUGGAACUGGUUCUUCUGGUUUGAAACUUGGAGCAGGGAAAGGUGAUGCUGCAUUUGGUUUUGAAGUUUCUGAUUCGAAUUCAUUUGGUGACACUGGCAUUAGUAGCAAAACAGUUGAAGGAAAUCAAACGAGUAGUUCUGGAGGAUCUGUUUCCAUUGAUCUAGGUGAUACCAGUUUCAGAAGUGAGAAUCAAUUUGUUGGUGGUGGCUCUCUAAAUUCGAUAUCCAAUUUAUGGGAUUCUGGUCAAGAGGGAUUUGGAAUCAAUGAAAUUGGAGGGAAUGGAAUGAGUGGCAGUGUAUCUGCUGAGGCUGGAUUCAAAGGUUUUGGAUCUGAUUCAAGUAGCUCAGGUGAUUCAAGUGCAAGAAAUGGGUUUGAAAAUUCUAGUGGUAUCUCUGAAGAUUCAGGAGUCAUAUUGGGGUCAUCUGAUCAACAUGAAGUUGAACUCAGUAGAACUGGUGGGAAUAGAAAGAGAAGCAGUGACCCUGAUGAGGCUGGAAACUUGAGUCCUGGAUCUGAUGUCAGUGACUCAGGAGGAAACACUUGGUCUUCUGAUUCUGGAAGUGGUGGAGGAGGUGUCACAAGCUCGUCUGAAUAUAGUACGUCUGGACCACUCAAUACUCCAGAAAAAGGAUCCCACAUUCCAGAAGCAACUCCAAAAUACUCAGAAACAAAUGCAAUUAUUGGUGAAAUAUCUACCUGGAGCAAAGGAGCAUAUAAAUCUUUCAACGGCCGCAUCUUUUUCUUUGAAUCUUCAUGCCCAUACACUUUCUGCCGUCACUGCAUUGAAUCUGGAGGGGAUUUCAAUAUUGAGAUCAAACGAAACAAUGAUAGUGAGAUUGAAAAAAUAACAGUUCUAAUUGACAAUAACGACGUCUCUAUUUUUGGUGACACCAUUUUAGUUAAUGGAGAAAGAUACCAUAUAACAAUAAGUUGAUUCACAUAAAAAAAUAUGGAGAACAUAAUGUUCUGAAUAGCCGUAGAGGAAUCCUGACUUUAAUGUGGGACAAAAAUAACAAACUCUCGCUCACUCUUCACAAGCAGUAUCCAACUUGUGGUCUUUGUGGUAACUUCAACAGCACUCCAGGGCAAGAUAUUAAUGAGCACAUUGCCAAUAGUAAAAUUCCUGGUGAUUGUCCCAAUGCUGUUGGUAAAAGCUAUGAAGUUUGUGAAGAUGGAAUACAGCACUGUAACAAAAUUAUUGGAACCUACUUUGAGAAAUGUGGAAAGGUUGCUGCUCUAUCCAAUGACUACAAAAUGAUCUGCAUUGAUGAAUACUGCCAAACUAGAGACAAAACAUCUACAUGUGACACUUAUUCAGAACUGUCCCGCCUCUGUGCCUCAGAUGGUCCUGGCACCUUUGAAUCCUGGCGAAGCGACUCCGAUGUGGUUUGUGGAACACAAAGAUGUCCAGAACAACAUAUCUACAAAGAAUGUGGACCCUCCAACCCUGCAACUUGUUCUAAUGUGGCUCCUUUUCAAGACAGUGAAUGUGUGAGCGGCUGCACCUGCCCAGAAGGUUAUCUGUUGGAUGACAUUGGAGAGAAAGGAAAAUGUGUAUUAAAAGCUGAAUGUCCCUGUGAAUCCAGUGGAACAGUGUAUCAGCCAGGAGAAGUCCGAGAAGGUCCUUGUGGUUCUCAGUGCACAUGCCAAGAUGCAAAGUGGUCUUGCACCGAAGCAUUAUGCCCUGGAAGAUGUAAGGUGGAAGGAAGUUCCCUUACCACCUUUGAUGGUGUUAAGUACAACUUUCCUGGAAACUGCCACUUCCUGGCCGUUCACAAUGAAGAUUGGUCUAUUAGUGUUGAGCUCCGUCCGUGCCCAAGUGGUCAGACAGGAACGUGCUUAAAUAGCGUUACACUUCUCUUGAAUUCUUCUGUUCCAGUUGACAAAUACGUAUUCAACAGUGAUGGAACAGUCACAAAUGACAAGAUUAGAAAUCAAGGUUAUUACUAUUCAGAUAAAAUACAGAUAUUCAAUGCAUCUUCCUCAUACCUUCAAGUAGAAACAUACUUUCAUGUGAAACUACAAAUACAAAUUGUUCCUGUGAUGCAAUUGUAUGUUUCUAUGCCACCCAACCAAUUCACAGACACUGUGGGACUCUGUGGUUCCUACAACAACAAAGCAGAGGAUGAUUUCAUGUCAAGUCAGAAUAUAUUGGAGAAGACAUCUCAGGCAUUUGCUAACUCUUGGGAAAUGAUGUCCUGUCCUAAAGGAAACCCCUCUUCAUGUAUUAGUAUAGAAAAAGAAAAAUUUGCUGAAAGGCACUGUGGAAUUCUUCUUGAUUCAAGUGGGCCUUUGGCUUCCUGCCACCCAAUUGUGAACCCUAAACCCUAUCAUGAGGAAUGCAAAAAAUAUACUUGCACUUGUGAAAACAGUCAGGACUGCCUAUGUACAAUUUUAGGCAACUAUGUGAAAGCGUGUGCUGAGAAGGAAACAUACAUAGUGGGAUGGAGAACUGGCCUAUGUGAACAUUCUUGCCCAAGUGGCCUAGUGUUCAAGUACAAUGUAAAAGCCUGUAAUAGUUCUUGCCGAUCCUUGUCAGAAAGAGAUAGGAGCUGUGAUGUAGAAGAUGUUCCAGUUGAUGGAUGCACCUGCCCUGAUGCAAUGUACCAGAAUAAUGAAGGAAACUGUGUACUGAAAUCUCAGUGUGACUGUUACAUAAACGACGAGGUCAUGCAACCAGGCAAACUCAUCCAUAUUGAUGACAAUAAAUGCGUCUGUCGGGAUGGAAUUCUUCUUUGCCAGAUUCCCAUUGAUUUAACCCUACAAAAUUGUUCUGGAGGGGCUGAGUAUGUAGACUGCAGUGAUCCCAAGGCACAGAGAAGAACCAACAGAACAUGCAGUACUCGGAACAUACCUGUUUUUGAUGAGAACUUGCCUUGCAAACGUGGGUGCUUUUGUCCAGAAGGAAUGGUUCGAAAUUCUAAAGGGAUAUGUGUCUUUCCUAAUGACUGUCCAUGCUCUUUUGGUGGACGAGAAUAUGAUGAAGGAAGUGUCACUUCUGUUGGCUGCAAUGAAUGUACCUGCAUUAAAGGGUCUUGGAGUUGUACCCAAAAUGAAUGUCAAACCAUCUGCCACAUCUAUGGGGAAGGUCAUGUUAGAACUUUUGAUGGGAAGAGUUACAGUUUUGACGGUCUCUGCCAGUAUUCAUUUCUUGAGGAUUAUUGUGGUCAUGAAAAUGGCACAUUUCGUAUUUUAACGGAGAGUGUUCCAUGCUGUGAAGAUGGGCUAACGUGCUCAAGAAAAAUUAUAGUUGCUUUUCAGGAUCAGAAUAUUGUCUUGCAAGACGGUAAAGUAACAGCAGUCAAAUCUACAGAAAGUAAGAAAUGUGAACUCAAUGCAAAUGCAUACUCCAUACAUACUGUUGGCCUGUACUUAAUUCUGAAAUUUCAAAAUGGAAUAAUCGUGAUUUGGGACAAAAAUACAAGACUGUCUGUUAUUCUGGAUCCAAACUGGAAUGGCAAAGUGUGUGGUCUUUGUGGAAAUAACAAUGGUGAUCUCAAGGAUGAUUUCACAACAAGAUACUCUUCAGUAGCUUCUGGAGCACUGGAAUUUGGGAAUAGUUGGAAAACAAGCCAAGAAUGUUCAGAUACAGUGGCUCAGACUUUCCCAUGUGAUUCAAACCCAUACUGUAAAGCCUGGGCUGUGCGGAAAUGUGAGAUCCUCAGAGACAGCACCUUCAGAGACUGCCACAACAAGGUUGACCCCAGUGCUUACCAUGAUGUGUGCAUUGAAGAAGCCUGUGCAUGUGACAUGGAGGGGAAGUACCUGGGAUUCUGCACUGCCGUGGCUAUGUACGCAGAGGCGUGUAGUGCAGUUGGAGUCUGUGUCUCAUGGAGAAAACCAAAUCUGUGUCCUGUCUACUGUGAUUACUACAAUGCGCCUGGGGAAUGCAGAUGGCAUUAUGAACCUUGUGGCACAGUGACUGCAAAAACAUGCAAAGAUCAGCUCGUUGGCCAGAAAUUUUCUUCACUUUUAGAAGGUUGUUAUGCUAAGUGCCCAGAUAGUGCUCCUUACUUGGAUGAGAACACCAUGAAAUGUGUCAGUUUAUCUGAGUGCAGCUGUUUCUAUAAUGAUGUCAUACCAGCAGGGGGAGUGAUUGAAGAUAAUUGUGGAAGAACAUGCUACUGCAUUGCAGGGCAGUUGGAGUGCAGUGAAACUGCUCCUACCAAUUCAACAUUUGCAGUUUCCACUACAACAGCUACCACCAUAUUAAGCACCGGAGCAGCAAUUACACUGGUUACCGGUGGCCCAAGCACAGCAGCAUCCAUUCCAGCGAUUACAACAUCAAGCAGUGAAACAACAGGAACAACUCUAGGUCCUCUCACCGAACCUUUUACUACAGGCAUUACUGAAACUUCAGUUCCCAUCAUCUCAACAUCUGGAAAUGCAGGCAUGACAGGAGUAGUGAGCCCCACCGUCACUGGUGCUUCAGGCAUGGCAGGAACAACUGGAGGAGUGGAUGCAGCCACCACUGGAGCUGCUAGUGAAAAUACAUCUGAGAGAGCAGGCACACCGAGGGUAUCUGGAGAAACCCCUGCAGUCGGAGGUGGCAGUACCCCUGGAGAAGCAGGCCCUGGAGCCACAGUUUCUGGAAGUACAGGAGUUUCUGCAGGCUCCAUCACUGCCAGCCCUGGAGCCUCAGCCACAAGCUCUGAAAGCAGCAAAUCAGGAACUACUGGACCCUCAGUGGGUGGAAAAACUGGAGCCACAAGCAGUGAAGCGACAUCAUCUGAAGGCAUGUCAGGUGUAACAGGACAGUCUCUUGGAUCUACUGCUGGAUCUGACAGUGAAAUCACAGCUAAAACAUCUUUCACUGGUUCCAGUCCACCUGGGAAACUCACCAGGCCAAGCCCGGGCUCACCUGGUCACUUUAGUGGUGGAACAACUGAAUGGGGAAAUGUAGCCACCACUGGAGCUGCUGGUGAAAACACUUCUGGAGCAUUGGGUUCAACAGAAGGGUCUGUGGAAGCCACCACCAGCGCAGGCAGUGGAAACACAGCUGGAACAUCAGGUACUGGGGACACUGGCCCUGGUAACACAGCAGUCUCAGGCACACCUGUGGUAUCACCUGGAGCAACUCCUGGAGCUCCAGGUAGCAGCACCCCUGGGGAAGCAGACAUUGGAAACACCAGUUUUGGAAAAUCAGGGACCCCAACAGUAUCUGCUGCCUCAACUACCAGUAGCCCUGUGAGUAAACACACCGAUGCAGCCUCAGCCACAGCAGUGACAAUCUCUGGAAGCAAACCAGGUACACCUGGAACACCAGGUGGUGCAACUAGUGGAGGCAAAAUUACAUCUGGAUGGUCCAGCAGUGGCACCAGCACGGGCGCUUCAAAUACACCAGGGGCAACAGGAUCAUCGACCGGACAGACAGACACAAGUGGACCAUCAGCUAAAGUAACAGGGAAUUAUGGACAAUCAUCUGAAAUACCAGGGACAAUUAAAUCAUCAUCUGAUGUUUCAGGGACAAUGGGGCAAUCAGAUACAACAUCUGGACCAUCAGUUGCAGUGACAAGGACUUCUGAACAAUCGUCAGGAGUCACGGUGGCAUCUGAACCAUCAGUUGGAGUAUCAGGGACAACUGGACCAUUAGCUGAAAUAUCAGGGACAACCAGACCAUUAGUUUCAGGGUUAAGGACAACUGGAUCAUCAGCUGAAGGAUCAGGGACAACUGGACCUUCAUCAAGAGAAUCAGUGACAACUAGACCAUUAGCUGAAGGUUCAGGGACAAGUGGACAAUCGGUUACAGGAUCAAGAGCAACUGGAUUAUCAGCUACAGAAUUAGGGACAACUGUGUCUUUUACUGGAGGAUUAGGUACAAGUAGAUCAUCUGCUAGAGAAACAAGGACAACUGGACCAUCAGCUGACGGGUCAGGAACAACUGGACCAUCUGUUGUGAGAUCAGGGACAACUAGAUUAUCAGUUGGAGUGACAAGAGCAACUGAAUCAUCACCUGGAGUGACAGGAACAACUACACCAUCAGCUGAAGAAUCCAGGACAACAGGACCAUCUGUUCUAGUGACAGGAACAACUGGACAAUCAGGCCAAGGAUCAGGGACAACUGGAAAAUCUUUUAUAGAAUCAGGACCAUCUGUUGUAGGAUCAGGGACAACUGGACCAACAUCUGCAGGAUUAGGAACAACUGCACCAUCAACCAGAAGAUCAAGCACAACAAAACCAUCAGUUGGAAGAACUGGGACAACUGGACAAUCAGGUGCAGAAUCAGGAACAACUGAACCAUCAGCUAGAGUGGCAGGUGUAACUGGAACAUCAGCUGAAGUAUCAGGAAGAAUUGAACCAUCAGCUACAGAAUCAAGUACAAGUAGACCACUAGGUGAAACAACAGGGACAACUAUACCAUCAAUGGAAGGAUCAGAGGCAACUGGACCAUCUGUCAUUGGAUCAGAAACAACUAGACUAUCAGUUAUAGGAUCAGGGACAACUGGAACUUCAUCUGGAGGUUCAGGUGCAACAAGAUCAUCAGGUGGAGGAAUGGGGACAACUGGACAAUCAACUGCAAGAUCAGAAACAACUGGACCACUUUUUGGAUUGACAGGAACAUUUGGGCAAUCUGCUACAGUGACUGGGACAUCUUCAAAUUCAGCUGGAGUGACAACACCUGAAAAAUCACCUGGAGUGGCAAUGACAACAGGACUGUUGGUUGAAGGAUCAGCUACAACUCAACCACGUAUUUUAGAAUCAGAAACAACUGAAUCAUCAGCUGGAGUGAUAGUGACAUCUGGACAAUCAGCCAGAGUGACUGGGGCAACUGGACCAUCAGCUGGAGAGACAGGAACAACUGAACCAUCAACUGAAGGAUCAGUUGCAGCUGUAUUAUUUGUUAUUGGAUCAGAAACAACUAGACCAUUAGAUAUAGGAUCAGGGACAACUGGAACUUUAUCUGGAGGUUCAAGUACAACAAGAUCAUCAGAUGGAACAACAGGGACAACCAGAAAAUCAACUGCAAGAUCAGAAACAACUGGACUUUCUGGAUUGACAGGAACAUCUGGGCAAUUGGCUGGAGUGACUGGGACAUCUUCAAAAUCAGCUGGAGUAACAGUGACAUCUGAAAAAUCAGCUGGAGUUGCAGUGAUAACAGGAUCAUUUGUUGAAAGACCAGUCACAACUGGACCACCUCUUUUAGAAUCAGAGACAACUAGACCAUCAGGUGGAGUAACAGUGACAUCUGGACAAUCAGCCAGAGUGACUGAAACAGUUGGAGCAUCAGCUGGAGUGACAGGAACAACUGGACCAUCAACUGAAGGAUCAGGGGCAACUGGACCAUCUGUUGUGGGAUCAGGAACAACUAGACCAUUAGCUGGUGAAUCAGGUACAACUGAGUCAUCAGCUGGAGUGACAGGGACAAGGCCAUCAUCAUCAAGAGAAUCAGCAACAACUGGACCAUCAGAUGAAGGAUCAGGAACAACUGGACUAUCAGCUGGAGUGACAGUGACAUCUGGACAAUCAGUUAGAAAGACUGGGACAACUGGAGCACCAGCUGGAGUUACAGAAACAACAAGACCAUCUGUUGUCAAAUCAGGGACAACUGGACCAUCUGUUAUAGGAACGAGGACAACUGGAACUUCAUCAGGAGGAUCAGGUGCAACAAGAUCAUCAGGUGGAGAAACAGAGACAACUGGCCAAUCAGCUGUAAAAUCAGGGACAACAGAAUCAUUUACUAGGUUGACAAGAACAUCUGGGCAAUCAGCUGGAAUGACUGGGACAUCUGCACAAUCAGCUGGAGUGGCACUAACAAGUCCUUUUGUUGAAGGAUUAGUGACAACUGGAUCAUCUACUGUAGGAUUAGAGACAACUAGACCUUCAGCUGUAGGAUCAGGAAAAACUGGACCUCCUGUUGUAAAAGCACAGACAACUGGACCAUCAGCUGGAGUGACAGUGACAUCCGGACAAUCAGCUAGAAUGACUGGGGCAAGUGGACCAUCAGUAGGAGUGACAGGAACAACUGGACCAGCAAGUAAAGGAUUAGGGACAAUUAGACCAUCUGUUGUAGGAUUAGAGACUACUGAACUAUCAGCUGAAGGAUCAGGGACAACUGGACCACCUAUUGUAGGAGAGACAACUGUACCAUCAGCUGGAGUGACAGUUACAUCUGGAUACUCAGAUAGAGUGACUGGGGCAACUGAACCAUUGGCUGGAGUAACAGGAACCAUUAAACCAUCUGUUGCAGGAUCAGUGACAACUGGACCAUCUGUUACAGGAGUAGAGACAACUGCAAAAACUACAUCUGGAGGAUUAAGUACAACUAUAUCGUCAGUUGGAGGAACAGGGACCACUGGACAAUCACCUGAAAGAUCAGGGACAACAGGACCAUUUACUGGAUUGACAGGGACAUCUGCACAAUCAGCUGGAGUCACAAUGACAUCUAUCCAAUCAGCUGGAGUGCUAGUAACAACAGGACUAAAUGUUGAUGGCUUAGGGACAACUGGAAAAGCUCUUAUAGGAUCAGGAACAACUGGAUUAUCAGCUGAAGCUACAGGGACAAUUGGACCAUCAACUGAAGGAUUAGAGAAAACUGGACCAUCUAUUACUGGAUCAGGAACAACCAGACCAUUAGUUACAGAAUCAUGGACAGCUGGAACUUCAUCUGGAGGACAUAGUACAACAAGUCCAUCAGUUAGAGGAACAGAGACAACUGGACAAUCAGCUGCAGAAUCAGUGACAACAGGGCCAGUUACAGGAUACACAGAAACCUCUGGUCCAUCAGCUGGAGUGACAGUGACACCUCGGCAAUCACCUACAGUGACUCAGACAACUGGAUCAUCAGCUGCAGUAUCAGGGACAACUGUACAAUCUCUUACAGUAUCAGGGACCACUAGACCAUCAUCUGGACAAACAGAAAUAACUGGAUCGUCAGUUAAAGAAUCAGGGACAACUGAAUCAUCAGCUGUAAGGUCAGGGACUACUGGACCAACAGCUGGAGUGACAGGUACAAAUGGACCAUCAUCAGCUGGAGUGACAGGGAUAACUGGAUCAUCACCUGGAGUGACAGGGACAACUGGAUCAUCACCUGGAGUGACAGGGACAACUGGAUCAUCUGCAAGAUCAGGGACAAGUAUACCAUCAGUUGGAAAAACAGGAACGACUAGAACAUCAGUUGAAGAAUCAAGGACAACUAGACCAUCAGCUGGAAUAACAGGUACAAAUGGACUAUCAGCUGAAGUGACAGGGACAACUGGACCAUUAGCUGGAGUGACAGGGACAACUGGACCAUCAGCUGGAGUGACAAGGACAACUGGACUGUCAGCUGGAGAGACAGGGACAACUGGACUAUCACCUGGAGUGACAAGGACAACAAGAUCAUCAGCUGGGCUAACAGGGAAAACAGGACUAUCAGCUGGGGUGACAGGGAAAACUGGACUGUCAGCUGAAGUGACAGGGACAACUAGACUAUCAGCUGGAGUGACAGGGACAACUGGACCAUCACCUGGAGUAACAGGUACAACUGGAACACCAGCUGGGGUUACAGGGACAACUGAACUAUCAGCUGGAGUGACAGGGAAAACUGGACUAUCAUCUGAAGUGACAGAAACAACUGGAUUAUCAUAUGGGGUGAAAAGGACAAUUGGACUAUCAGCUGGGUCGACAGGGACAAGUGGACAAUCAGCUGGAGUGGCAGGGACAACUACACUAUCAGCUGAAGUGACAGGGACAACUAGACCAUCAGCUGGGGUAACAGGGACAACAGGACUAUCAGCUGAAGUGACAGAGAUAACUGGAAUAUCAGCUGUGGUGACAGGGACAACUGGACCAUCAGCUGGGGUGACAGAGACAACUGGAUCAUCAGCUGGAGUGGCAGGGACAACAAGACUAUCAGCUGGAGUGACAGGGAUAACUGGACUAUCAGCUGGAGUGACAGGGACAACUGGACUGUCAACUGAAGUGACAGGGACAACUGGACCAUCAGCUGGGGCGACAGGGACAACUGGACUAUCAGUUGGAGUGACUGGGAUAACUGGGCUAUCAGAUGUAGUGACAGAGACAACUGGAUCAUCUGCAAGAUCAGGGACAGGUAUACCAUCAGUUGGAGAAACAAGAACAACUAGCACAUCAGUUGAAGAAUCAAGGACAACUAGACCAUCAGCUGGAAUAAUGGGUACAAAUGGACUACCAGCUGAAGUGACAGGGACAACUGAACCAUUAGCUGGAGGGACAGGGACAACUGGAAUAUUAGCCGGGGUGACAGGGACAACUGGACUAUCAGCUGGGGAGACAGGGAAAAUUGGAUCAUCAGCUGGGGUGACAGGGAAAACUGGAUCAUCAGCAAGAGUGACAGGAAAAACUGGACCAUCAGCAGAAGUAACAGGGAAAACUGGACUAUCAGCUGGAGUGACGGGGACAACUGGACUAUCACCUGGAGUGACAGGGACAAGUGGACUAUCAGCUGAAGUGACAGGGACAACUGGCCCAUCAGCUGAAGCUACAGGGCUACCUGGAGUAUCAGCUGGGGUGACAGGGACAACUGGAUCACUAGCUGGAGGGACAGGGACAAUUGGACUAUCAGCUGGGGUGACAGGGACAACUGGAUCAUCAGCUGGGGUGACAGGGACAACUGGACUAUCAGCUGGGGUGACAGGGAUAGCUGGACUCUCAGCUGGGGUGACAGGGAUAACUGGACCAUCAGCUGGAGUGACAGGGACAACUACAGUAUCAGCUGGAGUAACAGGGACAACUGGACUAUCAGCUGAAGCAACAGAGAUAACUGGACUAUCAGCUGGGGUGACAGGGACAACUGGACUAUCUGCUGGGGUGACAGAGACAAUUAGACUAUCAGCUGGGGUGACAGGGACAAUUAGAUCAUCAGCUGGGGUAACAGGGAUAACUGGACUAUCAGCUGGAGUGACAGGGACAACUGGACCAUCAGCUGGUGUGACAGGGUCAACUGGACUAUUAGCUGGGGUGACAGAGACAACUGGACAGUCAGCUAAAGUGACAGGGACAACUGGACAAUCUGUCGGAGUGACAGGGACAACUAGAUCAUCAGGUGGAGUGACAGGGAUAACUGGACUAUCAGCUGGAGUGACAGGGACAAAUGGACUAUCAGCUGUGACAGGAAUGACUGGACUAUCAGCUGAGGUGACAGGGACAACUGGACUAUCAGUUGGGGUGACAGGGAUAGCUGGACUCUCAGCUGGCGUGACAGGGAUAACUGGACCAUCAGCUGGAAUAACAGGGACAACUACCAUAUCAGCUGGAGUAACAGGGACAAGUGGACUAUCAGCUGAAGCAACAGGGAUAACUGGACUAUCGGCUGGGGUGACAGGGAAAACUGGACUAUCUGCUGGAGUGACAGAGACAAUUGGACUAUCAGCUGAAGCGACAGGGACAAUUGGAUCAUCACCUGGGGUGACAGGGACAACUGGAUCAUCAACUGGGGUGACAGGGAUAACUGGAUUAUCAGCUGGAGUGACAGGGACAACUGGAUUGUCAACUGAAGUGACAGGAACAACUGGACCAUCAGCUGGGGUGACAAGGACUACUGGACUAUCAGCUGGAGUGACUGGGAUAACUGGGCUAUCAGCUAUAGUGACAGAGACAACUGGAUCAUCCGCAAGAUCAGGGACAAGUAUCCCAUCAGUUGGAGAAACAGGAACAACUAGAACAUCAGUUGAAGAAUCAAGGACAACUAGACCAUCAGCUGGAAUAACGGGUACAAAUGGACUAUCAGCUGAAGUGACGGACAAUUGGACCAUUAGCUGGAGGGACAGGGACAACUGGACUAUCAGCUGGGGUGACAGGAACAGUUGGAUCAUCAGCUGUGGUAACAGGGACAACUGGACUAUCAGCUGGAGUCACAGGGACAACUGGACCAUCAGCUGAAGAGACAGGGGCAACUGGACCAUCAGCCGAAGUGACAGAGACAACUGGACCAUCAGCUGGGGUGACAGGGACAGGUAGACUAUCAGCUGAAGUGACAGGGACAACUGGCCCAUCAGCUGAAGUAACAGGGCUACCUGGAGAAUCAGCUGAGGUGACAGGGACAAUUGGAUCACCAGCUGGAGUGACAGGGACAACUCAGCUAUCAGCUGUGGUGACAGGGAUAACUGGACUAUCAGCUGAGGUGACAGGGACAACUGGACUAUCAGCUGGGGUGACAGGGAUAACUGGACUAUCAGCUGAGGUGACAAGGACAACUGGACUAUCAGCUGGGGUGACAGGGACAAUUGGACUAUCAGCUGGGGUGACAGGGACAACCAGACCAUCAGCUGGAGUGACAGGGACAACUGGACAAUCAGCUGAAGUGACAGGGACAACUGAACCAUCAGCUGGGUUGACAGAGACAACUGGAUCAUCAACUGGGGUGACAGGGGCAACUGGACCAUUAGCUGGAGUGACAGGGACAACUGGAAUAUCAACUGAAGUGACAGGGACAACUGGACCAUCAGCUAGGGUGACAGGGACAACUGUACUAUCAGCUGGAGUGACUGGGAUAACUGGGCUAUCAGCUAUAGUGACAGAGACAACUGGAUCAUCUGCAAGAUCAGGGACAAGUACACCAUCAGUUGGAGAAACAGGAACAACUAGAACAUCGGUUGAAGAAUCAAGGGCAACCAGACCAUCAGCAGGAAUAACAGGUACAAAUGGACAAUCAGCUGAAGUGACAUGGAUAACUGGACCAUUAGCUGGAGUGACAGGGACAACUGGAAUAUCAGCUGGGGUGACAGGGACAACUGGACUGUCAGCUGGGGUGACAGGGACUAUUGGAUCAUCAGCUGUGGUGACAGGUAUAAAUGGACUAUCAGCAGGAGUGACAGGGACAACUGGACCAUCAGCUGAAGAGACAGGGGCAACUGGACCAUCAGCUGAAGUCACAGGGACAACUGGACCAUCAGCUGAAGAGACAGGGGCAACUGGACCAUCAGCUGAAGUCACAGGGACAACUGGACCAUCAGGUGGAGUGACAGGGACAAAUGGACUAUCAGCUGAAGUGACAGGAACAACUGGCCCAUCAGCUGAAGUGACAGGGCUACCUGGAGUAUCAGCUGGGGUGACAGGGACAAUUGGAUCACCAGCUGCAGUGACAGGGACAAUUCGGCCAUCAGCUGUGGUGACAGGGAUAACUGGCCUAUCAGCUGAGGUGACAGGGACAACUGGACUAUCAGCUUGGGUGACAGGGAUAGCUGGACUCUCAGCUGGGGUGACAGAGACAAUUGGAUCAUCAGCUGGGGUGACAGGUACAAAUGGACUAUCAGCUGAAGCAACAGGGACAACUGGACCAUCAGCUGGAGUGACAGGGACAACUGGACUAUCAGCUGGGGUGACAGGGACAGCUGGACUAUCAGCUAGGGUGACAGAGAGUACAGGACUAUCAGCUGGGGUGACAGGGACAACUGGACUAUCAGCAGGAGUGACAGGGACAACUGGACCAUCAGCUGGAAUAACAGGUACAAAUGGACUAUCAGCUGAAGUGACAGGGACAACUGGACCAUUAGCUGGAGUGACAGGGACAAUUGGACUAUCAGCUGGGGUGACAGGGAUAGCUGGACUCUCAGCUGGGGUAACAGAGAGUACUGGACUAUCAGCUGGGGUGACAGGGACAAUUAGAUCAUCAGCUGUGGUGACAGGUAUAAAUGGACUAUCAGCAGGAGUGACAGGGACCACUGGACCAUCAGCUGAAGAGACAGGGGCAACUGGACCAUCAGCUGAAGUCACAGGGACAACUGGACCAUCAGGUGGAGUGACAGGGACAAGUGGAAUAUCAGCUGAAGUGACAGGAACAACUGGCCCAUCAGCUGAAGUGACAGGGCUACCUGGAGUAUCAGCUGGGGUGACAGGGACAAUUGGAUCACCAGCUGCAGUGACAGGGACAACUCGGCCAUCAGCUGUGGUGACAGGGAUAAGUGGACUAUCAGCUGAGGUGACAGGGACAACUGGACUAUCAGCUGGGGUGACAGAGACAAUUGGAUCAUCAGCUGGGGUGACAGGUACAAAUGGACUAUCAGCUGAAGCAACAGAGACAACCGGACCAUCAGCUGGAGUUACAGGGACAACAGGACUAUCAGCUGGGGUGACAGGGACAACUGGACCAUCAGCUGGAAUAGCAGGUACAAAUGGACUAUCAGCUGGGGUGACAGGGACAACUGGACUAUCAGCUAGGGUGACAGAGAGUACUGGACUAUCAGCUGGGGUGACAGGGACAAUUGGAUCAUCAGCUGUGGUGACAGAGACAACUAGACUUUCAUCUGGAGUCACAGGGACAAUUGGACCAUCAGCUGAAGAGACAGGGGCAACUGGACUAUCAGCAGAAGUGACAGGGACAACUGGAUCAUUAGCUGAAGUGACAGGGACAACUGGGCUAUCAGCUGGGGUGACAGGGACAAUUGGAUCAUCAGCUGUGGUGACAGGGACAACUGGACUAUCAGCUGGAAUAACAGGUACAAAUGGACUAUCAGCUGAAGUGACAGGGACAGCUGGACCAUUAGCUGGAGUGACAGGGACAACUGGACUAUCAGCUGGGGUGACAGGGACAACUGGACUAUCAGCUGGGGUGACAGAGACAACUGGACAAUCAGCUGGGGUGACAGAGAGUACUGGACUAUCACCUGGGGUGACAGGGACAAUUGGAUCAUCGGCUGUGGUGACAGGGAUAAAGGGACUAUCAGCAGGAGUGACAGGGACCACUGGACCAUCAGCUGAAGAGACAGGGGCAACUGGACCAUCAGCUGAAGUCACAGGGACAACUGGACCAUCGGGUGGAGUGACAGGGACAAGUGUACUAUCAGUUGAAGUGACAGGAACAACUGGCCCAUCAGCUGAAGUGACAGGGCUACCUGGAGUAUCAGCUGGGUUGACAGGGACAAUUGGAUCACCAGCUGCAGUGAGAGGGACAACUUGGCCAUCAGCUGUGGUGACAGGGAUAAGUGGACUAUCAGGUGAGGUGACAGGGACAACUGGACUAUCAGCUGGGGUGACAGGGAUAGGUGGACUCUCAGCUGGGGUGACAGGGACAAUUGGAUCAUCAGCUGGGGUGACAGGUACAAAUGCACUAUCAGCUGAAGCAACAGGGACAACUGGACCAUCAGCUGGAGUGACAGGGACAACUGGACUAUCAGCUGGGGUGACAGGGACAACUGGACUAUCAGCUGGGGUGACAGGGACAAUUAGAUCAUCAGCUGUGGUGACAGAGACAACUGGACUAUCAGCAGGAGUGACAGGGACAACUGGACCAUCAGCUGGAAUAGCAGGUACAAAUGGACUAUCAGCUGAAGUGACAGGGACAACUGGACUAUCAGCUGGGAUGACAGGGACAACUGGACUAUCAGCUAGGGUGACAGAGAGUACUGGACUAUCAGCUGGGGUGACAGGGACAAUUGGAUCAUCAGCUGUGGUGACAGAGACAACUAGACUAUCAGCUGGAGUCACAGGGACAAUUGGACCAUCAGCUGAAGAGACAGGGGCAACUGGACUAUCAGCAGAAGUGACAAGGACAACUGGAUCAUUAGCUGGAGUGACAGGGACAACUGGACCAUCAGCUGUAGUGACAGGGAAAACUGAACUAUCAGCAGAAGUGACAGGGACAACUGAACUAUCAGCUGAGGUGACAGAGAAAACUGGACCAUCAGCAGAAGUGACAGGGAAAACUGGGCUAUCAGCUGGAGUGAUGGAGACAACUGGACCAUCAGCUGAAGUGACAGGGACAACUGGAUCAUCAGCUGGGGUGACAGGCACAACUGGACCAUCAGCUGGAGUGACAGGGACAACUGGCCCAUCAGCUGAAGCGACAGGGCUACCUGGAGUAUCAGCUGGGGUGACAGGGACAAUUGGAUCACCAGCUGGAGUGACAGGGACAGCUCGGCUAUCAGCUGUGGUGACAGGGAUAAGUGGACUAUCAGCUGAGGUGACAGGGACAACUGGACUAUCAACUGGGGUGACAGGGAUAGCUGGACACUCAGCUGCGGUGACAGGGAUAACUAGACCAUCAGCUGGAGUGACAGGGACAACCACAGUAUCAGCUGGAGUAACAGGGACAAUUGGACUAUCAGCUGAAGCAACAGGGAUAACUCUACCAUCAGCUGGGGUGACAGAGACAACUGGACUAUCUGCUGGAGUGACAGAAACAAUUGGACUAUCAGCUGGGGUGACAGGGACAAUUGGAUCAUCAGCUGGGGUGACAGAGAUAACUGGACUAUCAGCUGGAGUGACAGGGACAACUGGACCAUCAGCUGGUGUGACAGGGUCAACUGUACUAUCAGCUGGGGUGACAGCGACAACUGGACAAUCUGUUGGAGUAACAGGGACAACUGGACCAUCAGCUGGUGUGACAGGGACAACUGGACUAUCAGCUGGGGUGACAGGGAUAGCUGGACUCUCAGCUGGGGUGACAGGGAUAACUGGACCAUCAGCUGGAGUGACAGGGACAACUACAGUAUCAGCCGGAGUAACAGGGACAACUGGACUAUCAGCUGAAGCAACAGAGAUAACUGGACUAUCAGCUGGGGUGACAGGGACAACUGGACUAUCAGCUGGGGUGACAGGGAUAGCUGGACUCUCAGCUGGGGUGACAGAGACAAUUGGAUCAUCAGCUGGGGUGACAGGUACAAAUGGACUAUCAGCUGAAGCAACAGGGAAAACUGGACCAUCAGCUGGAGUGACAGGGACAACUGGACUAUCAGCUGGAGUGACAGGGACAACUGGACUAUCUGCUGGGGUGACAGAGACAAUUGGACUAUCAGCUGGUGUGACAGGGACUAUUGGAUCAUCAGCUGGAGUGAAAGGGACAACUGGACAGUCAGCUGAAGUGACAGGGGCAACUGGACAAUCUGUUGGAGUGACAGGGACAACUAGAUCAUCAGGUGGAGUGACAGGGAUAACUGGACUAUCAGCAGGAUUGAGAGGGACAACUGUUUCAUCUGCAAAAGCAGGGACAAGUAUACCAUUAACUGGAAAAACAGGAACAACUAGAACAUCAGUUGAAGAAUCAACGACAACUGGACCAUCAGCUGGAAUAACAGGUACAAAUGGACUAUCAGCUGAAAUGACAGGGACAAAUGAACUAUCAGCUGGGGUGACAGGGACAAUUGGAUCAUCAGCUGGAGUGACAGGGACAACUGGACUGUCAGUUGAAGCAACAGUGACAACUGGACUAUCAGCUGGAGUGACAGGGACAACUGUCCCAUUAGCUGGGGUAACAUGGACACCUGGACCAUCUGCUGGAGUGACAGGAAUAGCUGCACUAUCAGCUGGAGUGACAGGGAAAAGUGGACUAUCAGCUGGAGUGACAGGGAAAACAGGACUAUCAGCUGGAGUGACAGGGACAACUGGACCGUCAGCUGAAGCAACAGGGAAAACUGGACUAUCAGCUGGAGUGACAGGGAUCACUGGACCAUUUGCUGAAGUGACAGGGACAACUGGAUUAUCAGCUGGGGUGAUAGGGACCACUGGAUCAUCAGCUGAAGUGACAGGAAUAACUGGACUAUCAGCUGGGGUGACAGGGAAGACUAGAUCAUCAGCUGGAGUAACAGGGACAACUGGAUUAUCUGCAAAAUCUGGGACAAGUAUACCAUCAGCUGGAAAAACAGGAACAACCAAAACAUCAGUUGAAGAAUCAAGGACAACUAGACCAUCAGCUGGAAUAACAGCUACAACUGGAGUGCCUGCUGCAACUUCCCCAGGAGCUGAAGGUGAAAGCAUAGCUUCCACGUCAGUUGCCACGGGAGCCAUCCCUCGGUCAACAAUUGCACCAGGAAGUACCACUACUGGUACCACUGGGGUAACCACUGGCACAACUCUUGCCCCUAGAAGUUUCAACAUAGGAACUUCUGGUGGAAUUUCUGGGAAAACCCUCAAACCUGGAAGUUAUGUCUCAGAGGCUACAACUGCUACAGGGACUCCUGGAGCAGGACCGUCAGGAGGCACCACUAUCAGUUCUCCUGAAGUCAGUACCAUUUCAGAAGUUUCCAACACAGGUAUCACUGGAGUAGGCUCUGAGACAUCUAUUGAAACAGGAAUUUCCAACACAGCUACGACUGGGGUGGCUCCUGGCACAACCCUUGCCCCUGGCAGUUCCAGUACAGAGGCCACAACUUCCAUAGGAGGAAGUGCAUCAACAAGAGGAGGAAUAGCCACAGAAGCCACAGGUUCCACAAGAGGGGUCAGGACCACUGGAUCAGAAGCUCCAGAAGGUACUUCUGGAGAAUUCUCUGGGACAACCAUUUCAUCUGGAGGCUUCCACACAGAAGCCACAACUCUCACAGGAGGUAGGGGCAGUAUUGGAACUGAAUCCAGAGCAGAGUCCACAACUUCCCUACCACAAAGUGCAAAAACAAGAGGUGGAAUACUGACAGAGGCCACAAGUUCCACAGGAAGGAUCAGGGCGACCGGAUCAGAAGCUCCAGGAGGUACCUCUGGUGAAUUCCCAGGGACAACAUUUACAUCUGGAGGUUCCCACACAGAGGCCACAACUUUCACAGGAGACAAGGGCAGUACUGGAACUGAAUCCAGAGCAGCCACCACUAGGGCAACUCCUGGCACAACUCUUGUCCCUGGCAGUUCCAAUACAGGGGCCACAGCUUCCCCAGGUGGAAGUGCAAUGACAAGAGGUAGAAUAACCACCGCUACCACUGGGGCUUUCUCUGGAAAGACUCUCGAAUCUGAGAAUGACAACACAGGCAAGCCACAAGUUCCACCAGAGGGGUCAGGACCACCAGGUCAGAAGCACCAGGAGGUACUUCUGGUGAAUUCCCUGGGACAAGAAUUACAUCUGGAGGUUCCUACACAGCCACCACCAGGGCAGCUCCUGGCACAACUCUUGCCCCUGGCAGUUCCAACACGGGGGCCACAGCUUCCCUAGGUGGAAGUGCAAUGACAAGAGGUAGAAUAACCACCGCUACCACUGGGGCUUUCUCUGGAAAGACUCUGGAACCUGGGAACAACAACACAGAGGCCACAAGUUCCACCAGAGGGGUCAGGACCACCAGAUCAGAAGCUCCAGGAGAGGCCACAACUCUCACAGGAGACAGGAGCAGUACCGGAAGUGAAUCCAGAACAGCCACCACUGGAGUAGCUCCUGGCACAACUGUUGCCCCUGGCAGUUCCAAGACAGAGGCCACCACUUUCCUAGGAGUAAGUGGAACAACAAACAUUGGAAGAGCCACGGGUGCCACAACUUCCAUAGUAGGGAGUGACACCAGCCAAGCAGAACGUCCAGGAGGUACAACUGUGGUUUCACCUGGAGCCAGCAGCACUUCACAGAGCUCCAGGCCAGGCACCUCUGUCACACCAGACAGUUCAGCAUCUGAAAGUGAAACAGUUACUACAAAAGAAUUCUCUGGGACAACUGCUAUAUCUAGAACUUCCCACACCGGCACCCCUGCAGCCUCAGGAGGCCAAGCAACUGGGAGCCUGACAGCCACCACUGGGGUAGCUCCUGGCACAACUGUUGCACCUGGCAGUUCCAACACAGAGGCCACAACUUCUGUAGGAGAAAGAGAAACAACAAAAGCUGAAAUAAUCACAGGUGACACUGGAGAAUUAUCUGGAACAACCAUUAUAUCUGAAAAUUCCACCACAGCAGGCAUCACUGCAGCAACAGGGAAGCAAGCAGGCACCUCGGAGGUAGCUCCUUCCACAACAGUUGCCCCAGGAAGUUUCAGCACAGCAGCCACAACUUCUCCUGGAGCAAGUGGAACGACUGGGGUUACAACAACUACAAAGACCACAACUUCCCUAGGAGGAAGUGGCACCACUGGAGCAGAAAUAAAAUCAGCCACCACUGGAGCACCAGGAAGUAGGACAGGCACAGCUGGAGUGCCCUCUGCUACAACAGUCUCCCCUGGGAGCUCCAACUCAGAGGCCACAACUUCUGUAGGAGAAAGUGGAAAAACAGGAGCUGAAACAAUCACAGAGGCCACCACUUCCACAGAAGGGACUGGUACUUCUGGAACUGGAUUCAAAACUGGCACCUCAGAGGUAGCUCCUGCCACAACGGUUGCCCCAGGAAGUUUCAGCACAGCAGCCACAACUUCUCCUGGAGCAAGUGGAAUGACUGGGGUUACAACAACUACAAAGACCACAACUUCCCUAGGAGGAAGUGGCACCACUGGAGCAAAAAUAAAAUUAGUAGGAACCACCACUACAGCACCAGAAAGUAGGACAGCUGGAGUGCCCUCUGGUACAAGAGUCACCCCUGGGAGCUCCAACUCAGAGGCCACAACUUCUGUAGAAGAAAGCAGAAUAACAAGAGCCGAAGUAAUCACAGAGGCCACAACUUUCUCAGGAGGCAGCGGGGCCACCUGAGCAGGAUUACCCAGAGGUACCACUGGAGAAUUUUCUGGAACGAACUUUAUAUCUGGAAGUUCUAACACAGAGGCCACCACUUCCACAGAAGGGACAGGUACUUCUGGAACUGGAUUCAAAAUUGCAGGCAUCACUUCUGCCCCAGGGAAACAAGCAGGCACCUCUGGGGUAUCUCUUGCCACAACAGUUGCCCCUGGAAGCUUCAGCACAGCCACAACUUCUUCUGGAGCAAGUGGAAUAACUAGGGCUGGCCCCAACUCAGAGACCACAACUUCCCUAGGAGGAAGUGGUACCACUGGAGCAGAAAUAAAAUCAGCUGCAGUGCCCUCUGGUACAACAGUUGCCCCUGGGAGCUCCAACUCAGAAGCCACAACUUCUGUAGGAGAAAAUGGAAAAACAAGAGGUGAAAUAAUCACAGAUACUACUGAGGGCACCUCUGGCAAAGUUCUGGAACCUGGAAGUGCCCACACAGAGGCCACAACUUUCCCAGGAGGCAGUGGGACUACCCGAGCAGGACCACCAGGAGGUACCACUGGAGAAUUGUCUAGAAUGACCAUUAUACCUGGAAGUUCUAACACAGAGGCCACAACUUCCACAAAAGGGACUGGUACUUCUGGAACUGGCUUCAAAACUGGCACCUCUUGGGUGGCGCCUGGCACAACAGUUUCCCCUGGAAGUUUCAGCACAGCCACAAUUUCCCCUGGAGCAAGUAGAACGACUGGGGCUGCACCUGCCGCAGAAACCACAACUUCCCUAGAAGGAGGUGGCACCACUGGAGCAGAAAUAAAAUCAGGAGCCACCUCCGGAGUACCGGGAAGUAAGACAGGCACAGCUGGAGUGCCCUCUGCUACAACAAUUGCCCCUGGGAGCUCCAACUCAGAGGCCACGACUUCUUUAGGAGAAAGUGGAAAAACAAGAGUUGAAACAAUCACAGGUACUACUGAGGGUAAAACUCUGGCAGCUGGAAGUGCCCACACAGAGGCCACAACUUUCUCAGGAGGCAGCGGGAGCACCCGAGCAGGACCACUGGGUGGCGCUUCUGGUACAUCAGGAGGAUAUGUCCCUGGAAGGGAAACAGAGCCCACAACUUCCAUUGAAGAAACUGGAACUUCCAGAACUAUAUUCAAAACUGUAGGCAUCACUUCAGCCCCAGGGAGGCAAGCAGGCACCUCUGUGGUGGCGCCUAGCACAACAGUUGCCCCUGGAAGUUUCAGCACAGCAGCCACAACUUCUCCUGGAGCAAGUGGAAUGACUGGGGUUAGAACCACUUCAAAGACUACAACUUCCCUAGGUGGAACUGGCACCACUAGAACUGAAAUAAAAUCAGGAGCCACCACUGGAGCACCAGGAAUUAAGACAGAUAUCAUGGGAGAAUCUUCUAGAACGACCAUUCUAUCUGGAAGUUCUAACACAGAGGCCACAAAUUCCAUUGAAGAGACUGGUACUUCUGGAACUGGAUUCAAAACUGCAGGCAUCACUGCAGCACCAGGAAAGCAAGCAGGCACCUCUGGGGUGGCACCUGGCACAACAGUUGCCCCUGGAAGUUUCAGCACAGCAGCUACAACUUCUCCUGGAGCAAGUGGAGUGACUGGCACUGGACCCACUGCAGAGACCACAACUUUCCUAGGAGGAAGUAGCACCACUGGAGCAGAAAUAAAAUCAGGAGCCACCACUGGAGCACCAGGAAGUAAGACAGGCACAGCUAAAGUGCUCUCUGGUACGACAGUUGCCUCUGGGAGCUCCAACUCAGAGGCUACAACUUUCUCUGGAAUCACUGAAGCAGUAACAGUCCCAAGUAAAAAUGGAUCUAUGACCACUGCACUGGGGAGCCAACUCUCCAGCAGUCAAACAGUGAUUCCAGGUUCCAGUGGCACCAUCUCUCACACAACUGUUGCACCUGGAAGUUCUGUUACAGGAACCACCACUGGUGCAUCAGAUGAUCAAGUCACUGGAAGUAAAACAGGCACUACUGGUGUGGCCUUGAGCACAACUGUUGCACCUGGAAGUUCCAGUACAGAAGCCACAACUUCCACAGGAGUCCAUAGAACCACUGUAGUGGGACAGAAGACAGGAGCUACCACUAGAGGGUCAGCAAAGCAAGGAACUAGAAGCACAAUAGAAGCUACGACGUCCUUUAGAGGCACUGGGACCACAGGAAGUGGAAUGAAUACAGGUACUACUGGAGUGGUCUCUGGCAACACCAUCUCACCUAGCAGUUUCAACACAGAAGCUACCAGUGGCACAUCUGAGAGGCCAAACCCUGGAAGUGAAAUAGGCACCACUGGCAUAGUCUCUGGCACAACAGUUGCACCUGGAAGUUCCAACACAGAAGCCACAACUUCUUUGGGCAAUGGUGGAACCACUGAGGCUGGAAGUAAAAUAGUUACCACUGGGAUAACUACUGGCACGACCAUUGUACCUGGGAGUUUCAACACAAAGGCUACCACUUCUACAGACGUUGGAGUUGCCACUGGAGUUGGAAUGGCAACUGGGAUCACCAACAUAAUUUCAGGGAGAAGCCAACCUACUGGAAGUAAAACAGGCUACACUGUAACAGGCUCUGGAACAACAGCCUUACCUGGAGGUUUCAGAACAGGCAAUACCCCAGGAUCAACGGGAGUCACCAGCAGCCAAGAAGGAACCACUGUGGUAUCAAGUGGAAUCACUGGAAUCCCAGAAACUUCCAUCUCAGGUCCUUCCAAGGAAGCAUCUGACAAAACCACUGCUCCUGGACCUCCUACCACAGUCACUGCUUCCACAGGAGUCAAAGAAACUUCUGAAACUGGAGUGCAAACAGGCUCCACCUUGGUUACAGCUGGAGUGCCAACAAGACCACAAGUAUCCCAGCCAGAAACCACUGUCGUGGCAACCAGAGAAGUAGAAACCGAAAAUAAAACAGAAUGUCUAGCCUCACUUCCACCAGCUCCAGUUUGUCACGGUCCAUUGGGAGAAGAGAAAUCUCCUGGAGACAUAUGGACUGCCAAUUGCCACAGAGGUACCUGUACUGAUGCAAAGACUAUAGACUGUAAACCUGAGGAGUGCCCUUCUCCACCCACAUGCAAAACCGGCGAGAAGCUUGUGAAGUUCCAAUCUAAUGACACCUGCUGUGAAAUCGGAUACUGUGAACCAAGAACAUGUUUAUUUAACAAUACUGACUAUGAGAUUGGUGCUUCAUUCGAUGACCCCAGCAACCCCUGUGUCUCCUACUCCUGCAAAGACACGGGCUUUGCUGCAGUAGUCCAGGACUGCCCAAAGCAAACCUGGUGUGCAGAAGCAAACAGAAUCUAUGAUUCAAAAAAAUGUUGCUAUACAUGUAAGAAUAAUUGCAGAUCUUCCCUUGUAAAUGUGACUGUUAUCUACAGUGGUUGCAAGAAAAGAGUUCAGAUGGCAAAAUGCACAGGGGAAUGUGAAAAGACUGCCAAGUACAAUUAUGAUAUCUUACUCUUGGAACAUUCAUGCCUUUGCUGCCGAGAAGAAAACUAUGAACUCAGAGACAUUGUACUUGACUGUCCUGAUGGCAGUACAAUCCCUUACCAAUACAAGCAUAUCACGACCUGCUCUUGUUUAGACAUAUGCCAACUAUAUACGACCUUCAUGUACAGUUAAUGCUGACAUCACCUUCCCAGUUUUAACAGGCCUGGUAUUUAUUUUAUAAGUGAGGAAAAAUAAUCAUUUAAAAAGUGAGAAUAAACUAAACAAUGUGAGAAUAACUCAAAACAA
rnacentral:lncRNA from 1 species